UACCUUUACUGCCUGUUACCUGCCCAA
rnacentral:piRNA from 1 species